CAUACAGUCACUGUGUAAAAACCUGCACGGGCCUUUCUCUACAGACAAGUCGCAAACUGAAAAAUUGCCCGGAUUAAGCAUGGAAGGGACUGAGAUUAUCUUUGCCCAUCUUCCUAGGAAAAAUCUUCUGAGAAUCCCAGGUAGUUCCAGCACAGUUCAAUCCCAAUUUUUGUACCAGGAUACAGUUAGCCUGGAAUGCUGAAA
rnacentral:lncRNA from 1 species